UAGUGGCGAACGGGUGAGUAACACGUGGGCAAUCUGCCCUUCACUCUGGGACAAGCCCUGGAAACGGGGUCUAAUACCGGAUAACACCUGCCCGGGCAUCCGGGUGGGUUAAAAGCUCCGGCGGUGAAGGAUGAGCCCGCGGCCUAUCAGCUUGUUGGUGAGGUAGUGGCUCACCAAGGCGACGACGGGUAGCCGGCCUGAGAGGGCGACCGGCCACACUGGGACUGAGACACGGCCCAGACUCCUACGGGAGGCAGCAGUGGGGAAUAUUGCACAAUGGGCGAAAGCCUGAUGCAGCGACGCCGCGUGAGGGAUGACGGCCUUCGGGUUGUAAACCUCUUUCAGCAGGGAAGAAGCGAAAGUGACGGUACCUGCAGAAGAAGCGCCGGCUAACUACGUGCCAGCAGCCGCGGUAAUACGUAGGGCGCAAGCGUUGUCCGGAAUUAUUGGGCGUAAAGAGCUCGUAGGCGGCUUGUCACGUCGGGUGUGAAAGCC
rnacentral:rRNA from 1 species